rnacentral:lncRNA from 1 species
UUGGUAGAUCAUGACGCGUCAGAUGAAAUGGCCCGUUUCCAGUUUGUGAAGUGUCACUGUAAGUCUCACGCUGUACCCUUUUGUCUUAAAUAUCAAAGCCAACACGGGCACGUUAACAUUUGAAUAUUUUCCAGUUCUUCAUAAGUGGAGAUCGUACAAUAGGGUGGGGGGGAAAGGGCUCGUUGUAGUGAAGUAGCACAUAUCAAAAAGAAAGAGCCCUUUCUCUUUCUCUCUCUCUCUCUCCCUCUCAAUCGCUCUCUCAUUCUCUCUCUCACAUCAGUGACUGCCUGUGAAGGGCUUCCAAAUCACAGUCCUUGUACCAUUCAGCACAUACAAAAGGGCUGUGUGAGCCUGAGCAGGCAAGGCCUAAUUAAAAUCCUUUAACAGAGAGAGAAAGAGAGGGGCACAUGGAGCUGGGCUGGGAUUGUAAAGGAGGCUGUCAGUGAGUUGGGGCGUCGACAGCCACACACAGACUCUGUGACAGCUCUCCAGAGCAGCUACCACAUACGCCAUUUGCUCAGAGGGCCUUAAUUGGGUCUUUGAUGUCCCUUAGAAAGGUGGCAGAGAGAUGGAAAUGUUAUCGUCGCCCACUUUCAUACUGCCUACCAGCUUAGAUUGUUUAUGAUUUACAAAAGAUGUGCUUCUACUGCUUGCUGUCUUUUUUCAGCUACCUCUUUCUCUCUUGGGUCAGGAUGGUCGAUUAGUGAGGUCAACAACAGCCCAAGAUUGCAUCGGCUCACACCAUUGGCUCAACCAAAGGUGGGGGCGGGACUAUUUGUUUGUCCAAACAAUGGAAAUGUUGGCCGAAACAUUGAAGGAGGGACCCAUACUCAACUGUGUGGAACUGUAGCGCGGCACUUUCAUAAAGCAGAGAAGAAAGAUUUUUUUCCCCCUACAUCCUUCAAUUAAACAUUGGCUGAGUUAAACUGAGUCAUCUACUGUAUGUCAGACGAUCCUCGAUCUCCCAGCGUCUUUGAAGCCAUCAAAAAAUAAAUGACAACAUCUUGGUCAAGGGAAGUUGAAAGAUCAGAGGACUUUGGUCCAGAGACAAUUAAACAUUGGCUAGAGUUAAACUGAGUCAUCUACUGUAUGUCAGACGAUCCUCGAUCUCCCAGCGUCUUUGAAGCCAUCAAAAAAUAAAAUGACAACAUCUUGUCAAGGAAGUUGAAAGAUCAGAGGACUUUGGUUCCAGAGAUAAAAUCACUAGGGUCUGUCACCAUUUCACAGAAGUUCUAGCUUUCACCACGAAUGUAAUGAGUGCAUGUUGGCCACUUUUUGUGAUUUGUAACGUACCUUAUCUUCCCACAACAGAUCUUUGCUAAUCAGUGCCUCUUUUUUGAGUAGCGUCUCAGUACUCGUCUUGUAUACAUAAUAAUCAUACCUCUCCGUAUCAGAAAUGAACUGUAAUACUGAUUAAGUUUAGGGAUUAGUUUUUUUUCUUCAAGUGCAACAAAGUGUGAAGUUUCAGAUAACACUCUGUUCUGCAUGAAAGGAACAUUUGAUCAUAUUAUAUAGUUUUUUGGAGGCGGAAAGAGAAAAAAAGAUCACCAAUGAAAAGUCAUGGCCCAUUAAAGUCAGGCAAAAUUACCCAGGCUGCAUUAAGAAGCUUUAAAAAAAGAGAGAGAUAUGUAUCAUGCAUGUGGAGAUGCAUAAACAUGACGGGGCAGCUUAAGUAGAAAAUGAGAUCUGAUGCCUUACUGAAGAAGAGACCUCGUGCUCAGAAUGCAUUUAAAUUUAAAUAUUCAUAUCAUUAUAAUCCAGAGGAAUAUGUAACGACUGUAUGAUAUUUUAUUGAGGAGGUUUUAAAAAUGAAUGCUGUCCCAACUCCUUAAUAAAAAUCCUGCCAAAGCUCUUAGUAGUCACACUGAAGGCGUUCCUCUUUGGUGUCAUGCCAGUCAAGUCUGCUACAGGUCCUCGGGUGCUUUGCCCGGGCCCCACACACACACUCUCUCUCACAGGAAGUCUUUCUUCUAGCUGUAUUUACUUCUUUCUUUGAAUAGUCAGAUUGUUCUUGUGCAUGUAUAUUUUCAGAAAAACAUGUCAUAGAGUGGAUGCACAUGACAACCCUGUGUGUGUCAUGCACGCA